CGAAAGCUUAAACACUUUAAAUCUUACAGGGGGAAGGGAGCCUCUGAGAAGAUUUAAAGGAAAUACUCCCCAAGACAGAAAGGAUAUUGAUAUUGUUUUGGGGGCCGAGGAAGGUGACAAGAAGCUGACAGCGUUCACCUGAAGAGGCUGGGCCAAAGCAGUGAGCCAGCCACCUGCUUCCAGGGGACCAUGGACAUUGACAUCACCAGCAGCAGACACUUGCCACCUUUUCCUUGUGUUCUAAGCACCAGGGGGAAGAAUGGAACCAAAUUUUCCCAGUCGAGACUAUAAACAUGCUGUCAGAUGCCUAGAAAGCCCGCUUAGCUAUCCAAGGGGGCACGGGUUUGAUCCCUGGUUGGAGAAGUUCCUCAUGCUGCGCAGUGCUGUGUGGCCAAAAAGAAGAAAAAAAAAUGCAGCAACCUUUACCAUCAAAGACUCUUGGGACACUGGGCUGCUGUCAUGCAAGACUCCAGUUACAGAGAUGAAGAGGAUGCAUUCCCUGCCAUUGGGUUACAGCCUUGGAGAAGAAGCAGGAAGGUGGACCUUCAAGGAGAAGCAAGAUUUCACAGGUAGAAAAGAUGGAAGGACAUUUUCCAGGCUAAGGGAGUUGCAUGGAAACAUGAAAGCAAGCAAUGGGUUCCAGGAAAAGCAACGCUUGGGAAAUAGCCUGAAAGGAGACAGGAUGCAUGGAGUGAUGAAGAAAAUCAUGGGUAGGGCAUCUGAGAUCCACAGGAAGAAACUCAGCAACCUUCCCAUGGAUGUUCAGGUGGGCGGCAGUGCAGGACCACUGAAAGAGCAUGGUAUUCUAAGUCAGGCACACCAAAGUUUGCCUCUCAACUCUAGCUCAUUAUCAGUGACUGACAUUGAACAAAUUCUCUCACAUCGUUGAUCCUUAUUUUCAUAAUGUAUAAACUGAAGAUAAUAUUUUUACCUCUCAGGCUGAUGUAAAGUUUAAAUAAGAUGUUCAGAAAGUGCCAAACAAGCACACAUGACAAACCUUCAUUAAAUGUAGCCCCUUCCUUUACCCCCUCAGGUAGAAUAAAUUAGGAAACAUA